rnacentral:rRNA from 1 species
GACGAUCGCUGGCGGCGUGCUUAACACAUGCAAGUCGAACGGAAAGGCCCUGCUUUUCUGGGGUGCUCGAGUGGCGAACGGGUGAGUAACACGUGAGUAACCUGCCCUUGACUUUGGGAUAACUUCAGGAAACUGGGGCUAAUACCGGAUAGGAGCUCCUGCUGCAUGGUGGGGGUUGGAAAGUUUCGGCGGUUGGGGAUGGACUCGCGGCUUAUCAGCUUGUUGGUGGGGUAGUGGCUUACCAAGGCUUUGACGGGUAGCCGGCCUGAGAGGGUGACCGGCCACAUUGGGACUGAGAUACGGCCCAGACUCCUACGGGAGGCAGCAGUGGGGAAUAUUGCACAAUGGGCGGAAGCCUGAUGCAGCAACGCCGCGUGCGGGAUGACGGCCUUCGGGUUGUAAACCGCUUUCGCCUGUGACGAAGCGUGAGUGACGGUAAUGGGUAAAGAAGCACCGGCUAACUACGUG